rnacentral:rRNA from 1 species
UUUUACGGAGAGUUUGAUCCUGGCUCAGGACGAACGCUGGCGGCGUGCUUAACACAUGCAAGUCGAACGAUGAACUGGAGCUUGCUCCAGGGAUUAGUGGCGAACGGGUGAGUAACACGUGAGUAACCUGCCCUUGACUCUGGGAUAAGCGCUAGAAAUGGCGUCUAAUACCGGAUACGAGCUUCAGCCGCAUGGCUAGGAGUUGGAAAGAAUUUUGGUCAAGGAUGGACUCGCGGCCUAUCAGCUAGUUGGUGAGGUAAUGGCUCACCAAGGCGACGACGGGUAGCCGGCCUGAGAGGGUGACCGGCCACACUGGGACUGAGACACGGCCCAGACUCCUACGGGAG